rnacentral:tRNA from 1 species
GCUCCCAUGGUGGAAUAGGUAGACACAAGAGACUUAAAAUCUCUCGCUAGUAAUAGCGUCCCAGUUCGAGUCUGGGUGGGAGCACCA